UGCGUAGACGGUUAUGUAAGUCGGGUGUGAAAGCCCCGGGCUCAACCUGGGAAUUGCACUCGAGACUGCAUAGCUAGGGUGCGGAAGAGGGAAGCGGAAUUUCCGGUGUAGCGGUGAAAUGCGUAGAUAUCGGAAGGAACACCAGUGGCGAAAGCGGCUUCCUGGUCCAGCACCGACGUUCAGGCACGAAAGCGUGGGGAGCAAACAGGAUUAGAUACCCUGGUAGUCCACGCCAUAAACGAUGAGAACUAGACGUUGAGAGGGUAAGCCUCGCAGUGUCGUAGCUAACGCGCUAAGUUCUCCGCCUGGGGAGUACGGCCGCAAGGUUGAA
rnacentral:rRNA from 1 species